rnacentral:lncRNA from 1 species
AUGCUUGCCCUCCUGCCCAUCCCCCCUACCUGCUCCCCCCUCCACUGCCUCUGCCUGCAUCCCCUGUCUGUCUCACUUGCCCAACACCCUGCCCACCCCCCACCCAUACCCCCUUGCCUGUCCCCCCAGACCACCCCUCCUGCCCUCCUGACUGUCCCCCUUGCCCACACCCUCUGCCCAUCCCACCUGCCCAGCCCCUCUCUAUACCCCCCUGCCAACGCCCCUGCCCGCUCCCCCCUCCACCGCUCCUGCCUGCCUCCCUUGCCUGUAUCCUCUGCCCAUCCCCCUUGCCCAUCUCCCCUGCCCAUCUCCCCCUGCUUGCCCCCCCGCCUGUCCCCCCUGUCCGUCCUGCCUGCCCAACCCCCCUUCUCAUACCCCCCUGCCUGUCCCCCUGGCCCUCUCCCUCCUCCAACGCCCCUGCCUGCCCCCCUUGCCUGUACCCCCCUGCCCAUCUCCCCCUGCCCGUUCCCCCUGCCUGCUCCCCUUGCCUGUAUCCCCCUGCCCAUCUCACCACCCCCCCUGCCCCCCCGCCGCCCGCCCCCUCUGGCUGGCUGUGCUGGCCUCAUCCCAGGUCUUGAGCCCAGGUCUCCAGAUUCUGCUCCCGUCUUAGGGCAGAAGCCAAUGGAACCGCAGCUGCGGGGCGUGCACGGAGGAGGGCAGCUUCCCCUGUGGACUGCGGGCGCCUCGGGGAAGGCCCGGGGCCCUUCGGAAGGUCGCGUGCUGCCCACAGACGGCGGCCUGGGCCCUUUCUGUCUCCCGGGCUCGGAUGAGCCAUCUGGCUGCCAUCCCCAUCGCCCUCGCUCUCCCUGGGGCACGGACAGACCUCAGCCCGUCCCCUGCAUCUGUCCAGACCUUUCUGAGACUGGAAAGAAAGCGGUGGGGACACGGGGCGUUUGGGAGUGGAGACUGGGUGGGGGGAUGGCAGGGGGCUCCCAGGAGUGGCCGCUCUCCCUCUGCAGAGGAGGGGACUGUGCUGUGAAGGCCCAGCGGGUACCCCAGGGCUCCUCCUCCACCACCUCCCCCCAAACCCUGCAGGGCUCAGGGCAUAAGGCAAGAAGCCUGGCAGCUUCAUUUAUGGGCCGCAACCUGCAAGGAGGUGGCAAUUAG